GGGCCUCUUCUUGGCCACCUGCUGUUCUGUGUCCUGUUUCUCUAUAAAUGUUUGAUGCCAUGCCAAUUUGUUUGGUUUUUCUUAAUAGGUCUGUGUAUCAUUUUUGAGAUAAACUCAGUGUAAACUAUAAGGCAAAGACAUGUUCGAAUUUAAUCUACAUAUAACACCCAGCAUGGAGAGAAUCAGAAACCAAGAGCAUGGUGUACUCAGUCUAACCCACAGGUUAUGGGCCAGAGCUUCAUAAUGAAAUAGUGAAAUGAGAAUGUAUGUUUUUUAUCAAGGAGUUCAUUGUCCUUUCUGGUACACUACACCACCCAGUGCCUAAUCUGUCUAAAGUAUGAGUGUCUAUUAAUAACUGUUCUACUAAUAAUGCAUAGUGGCUUUCACUAUGAAAAGCUUACUGGUAUUUUGAAUAAUCAAACAUUUCCAGGUAGACAUGGAGAAUGACUUUGGAGGCUUGCGAACAUCUUUUAUUAGCAGUAGAAGCUAUGAUAGAAAGGGAGAGCAUAUACCUGCACUAAGAACCUGUUAUUCCUCAGACACAUCCAUAGGCAUUCAACACACAAACACUUUGUGAAGCUUGUGUCAGCUUCACCUUACAAGGGGUCCAAGGUCAAAGAAACUAUUUCCACCACUAUUGUUGAGGCAGCAGGAUUUGCAGCUUCUUUGUGUAGCCCAUAAAUUCACAUGUCCUACCCUUUAGUUUGAAGAACAAAGUCUAUAGAAUUUCAUGCCUUAAACUCUCUCUGAAUUACUUAUAAGGCAAAGGUGUAAAGAGUGGUUCCUGUUCUUCCAGAGGACCAGAGUUUGAAUCCAAGCACCUAUGCCAGGAAACUUACAACCACAGGUCACUGUAGCUUCAAGAGCUCCAGCACCUCUCUUCUGGCUUCCCCUGUAUUCAAGCCACAGCACAAGUACACACUCCACACACACCCACACCCACACACCCCACCCACACCCCACACAAAAACUGCAUGUAUUAUUCCUGUCUGCCACAUGUUUUAUUCCUGUCCCUAGCUGCCUAAGGUUGAGGAAGGGAGUCUGGGGCCCUAGUUUGCCUAGAAUACUGCCUGUAAUAAAAUGAAACCAAAGGCUAUUAGGGUCCCUCUCCUCUGAAAGCAUUUAUUGAUCAAAUACAAAUUUUAACACAUUUUUAUGAUAAAAAAAUUCAAACAUCUUCUAGGUACAGAAAUUGGUAUAAAGAAAAGCUGGUUACCCUAAACUUGACCUAAUCUUAUACUGUGUAAGACAGGACGUGAACUAUGACCUGUUUAUAACGUAUAGAGUAACUGCAUAAUACAUACUGGACUUUUUUUGUUUUUUUUUAAUCUCCUAAGCUCAGUUCUUACUCUAGUACACAGUAGAUGUUUUGUCUUCUAAUGCAAAGUCUUCACAGGUUAUCAGUAGUCACCUUUUAAAAACUACAGUAGUUAAGAUCAUGGCAAAUUAGCUAUUGGAACAAGAUAAAGCAGAGAUAUUAGAAGAUCACCUUGGAAAUAAAGCAGUCAGGAGAUGAAUGUGCAACUGUGAAGGUCAAGAGGAUAAAAUCAAAGACCGUUGGGAGCCAUGUGGUUCCUAUGAGGGCACAUGUCUGGCUCUGGCUAAGACUGGCAAAGGCAUCACAGUGAGAACUGUCCUUGGAUAUGCAGUGUCUGCCCAGGUUAGCAUAGUUCAUGUUCUGAAGGACAUGGACAUCAAAGAAAAGGACUGUACUGUAACUUUUCAAUUGUCAAAACAACUGUUUGGUAAACAGACCCAGACUUAUAAAAGACAGAACAUAACCAAAUAUCUGCCUUACAAUUUGCAAUGUAUUGUACUUCAAUGUGUGUAGGAUGUUGGUCUACCUCGGAUAAUCCUUUAAGGGGGUUGUCUGUUUUGAACAGGCCCUAAAGGAGCAACGUGUCUCCCUUCCUUAACAGGUUUAAAAUGAUAUUUUGAUAUAAAUACACAUGAGCUGGGGUUAUGGCUCAGAGUCAGCCCCAGCGUGCUUGCCUAGCAUGAACAAAGCCUUCAUUCAAUCUCCAGCACUAUUAAAAAUUAUAUAUACAUAUUUUUAAACUAUUGAAAAGCCUGCAAACAAGCAGAUGUGAGUGUAAAAAUUAGAAAUUUCUAGGGUAAUUUUGUUAGUAAACCAGGGAAGCUUGGUCAAAUAUGUCUUCUGAUAUGGUCAUGUGAGACUUAGACAAGCACAGUGCUUCUGGCCCAUCUUAUUUAUGAAUAUAGAGAGCUUCUACUAUGCACAUGCAGCCUUCAUUCUGGAUUUCACAUGGGCAGAAGUCUAUUUUCCCAUGAUCAGUUUAUUGAUCCCUCUUGCCUCAGAGCUGAGUAUAUUUCCCUGGCUCAUAUUCCUCAGAAGAAGUCAUGGGAGGAGAAGCUUUUCUUUAAGAGAACUGUCUUAGACCUCUGGGUGGGGGGUUCUGCAUUUAUGUAUAUCAUGAAAGAAGAAAAGACAAGACUUUAAACUGGCCCUUGAAUUCACUCUUGUCCUAAACAAAUCAAUCCUUUAUGUAAUUUGUUUGUAUGUAACCUUGUGUGUGCUCUCUUUGUCAAGCAGGAGGCAGGGCUGACACAGCGACCUCCUCAUGUGGAAUCACCCGGAACCAUUUCUGUUCCAGCUCUUCUGUUUUUUGGCAAGUGCAUUUUUUCAGGUCUCACAGGCAGGAGGCUGCAGGGUUACUAUUCACAGGCAGGCUUCAUCUAUCUAAGAACCUGCUGGGCAUCUUCUCCCCCAAGGGACGUCUCCCAGGAUGUCCUUGCAGUGCAGAGAGGCUCUGGGUUCCUGGACCCAAGAUAUAAUGGCUCUACAAGUGUUGGUGAGCUGAACCCAUGAGGCCUGUGACUGCAGCAGAAGGUCCAUACGUCUAGUUUGAUUUAACAGCUCCCACGUGAUCCUCUGCUACAGCUGGAAGACAGUGUCACCACGCCUUCCCCAUGUGAUGGGUGUAGCCCUGAAAUGUGAGCCCAGGCAAGUUCUUGGAGCAAUUAUUAGCUCCUUUGUUGUAGGCAUUUUGUCAGAAUGAUGAAAAAAGUUUGUUUUGCAGCAAAUUAAACCAGUUCCUGGUGCCCGGUGUACAGCUAUUGCUUUAGCAAAUACUUCCCUGCUCCAUCUAUGUCUGCAAGUCCCACCAGGAUCAAUCUGCUUUCUCCUGGCAAGGACAGCACUGCAGCAUUACUGUUGCACCUCAAGGCUAUUUUAACUGACUCUCCCUGUGCCAAAAGUUAGUUCUGAGGUGCAUUAAUCACACGUCUGUUUCCUAAUGUUUCACACUUGUCUGUUACAUUGAUGAUGUCAUGCCGUUGAACCAAACACUCUGGACUUGUGGAUAAAUUGUUUGUGUCCCAUAGAAUAGGAAAUAAACCCAAGAAUAAAAAAAAAAAUUAAAAAGUGGGCUUCUAUGUCAGUAAAAUUCCUAGUUGUUCAGUGAUG